UACGAAGGGAGCGAGCGUUGUUCGGAAUCACUGGGCUUAAAGCGUGCGUAGGUGGAUUGGUAAGUAAGGAGUGAAAUCCCAGGGCUUAACCCUGGAACUGCUCUUUAGACUGCCUGUCUGGAAUUCGGAAGAGGUUGGUGGAACUCCCAGUGUAGAGGUGAAAUUCGCAGAUAUUGGGAAGAACACCGGUGGCGAAGGCGACCAACUGGUCCGACAUUGACACUGAGGCACGAAAGCGUGGGGAUCAAACAGG
rnacentral:rRNA from 1 species